CCCUGCUACCUUUCAAAAACAUAAAUGUGCCCUGGUCAUCGAUAGUGCAGGGAGAGGAAUGUGAAAGCCUUUCCCCGUGUUUGGAAGGUCUGCUCCUAUCCUUACCAAACCCUGCAGCUUUCCCCCA
rnacentral:snoRNA from 1 species